rnacentral:rRNA from 1 species
CCUACGGUGGGCUGCAGUGGGGAAUAUUGGACAAUGGGCGAAAGCCUGAUCCAGCCAUGCCGCGUGUGUGAAGAAGGCCUUCGGGUUGUAAAGCACUUUCAGUGGGGAAGAAAGCCUUGGGGCUAAUACCCUCGAGGAAGGACAUCACCCACAGAAGAAGCACCGGCUAACUCCGUGCCAGCAGCCGCGGUAAUACGGAGGGUGCGAGCGUUAAUCGGAAUUACUGGGCGUAAAGCGCGCGUAGGCGGUCUGAUAAGCCGGUUGUGAAAGCCCCGGGCUCAACCUGGGAACGGCAUCCGGAACUGUCAGGCUAGAGUGCAGGAGAGGAAGGGAGAAUUCCCGGUGUAGCGGUGAAAUGCGUAGAGAUCGGGAGGAAUACCAGUGGCGAAGGCGGCCUUCUGGACUGACACUGACGCUGAGGUGCGAAAGCGUGGGUAGCAAACAGGAUUAGUACCCGAGUAGUC